GGCGGGAGCUGAGGGGGGGAGGGGAGGGUGUCUGAGCUCCGUCCUGAUGUGCCCUCUGCCCCUCUCCUCCCGCAGC
ensembl:miRNA MIR12253 microRNA mir-12253